AUUGAACGCUGGCGGCAGGCCUAACACAUGCAAGUCGAACGAGUGGCGGACGGGUGAGUAAUGUCUGGGAAACUGCCUGAUGGAGGGGGAUAACUACUGGACACGGUAGCUAAUACCGCAUACCCUCAGUUGUGCCCAGAUGGGAUUAGCUCGUUGGUGGGGUAACGGCUCACCAAGGCGACGAUCCCUAGCUGGUCUGAGAGGAUGAACAGCCCAACGGGAACGUAGACACGGUCAAGACGCCUACGGUAGGCAGCAGUGGGGAAUAUUGCACAAUGGGCGCAAGCCAGAUACAGCCAUGCCGCGUGUAUGAAGAAGGCCUUCGGGUUGUAAAGUACUUUCAGCGGGGAGGCGUUAACCGCAGAAGAAGCACCGGCUAACUCCGUGCCAGCCGCCGCGGUAAUAC
rnacentral:rRNA from 1 species